GACGAACGCUGGCGGCGUGCUUAACACAUGCAAGUCGAACGGAAAGGCCCUGCUUUUGUGGGGUGCUCGAGUGGCGAACGGGUGAGUAGCACGUGAGUAACCUGCCCUUAAAUUUGGGAUAAAAUUAGGAAACUGGGGCUAAUACCGGAUAUGAGCUCCUGAUGCAUGGGGGGGGUUGGAAAAUUUCGGGGGUUGGGGGUGGUCUCGCGGGUUAUCCGCCUGUUGGGGGGGUAGUGGAUUACCAAGGGUUUGAAGGGUAGCCGGCCUGGGAGGGUGACGGGCCACAUUGGGCCUGAGGUAAGGCCCAACUUGGUACGGGAGGCAGAAGUGGGGAAGAUUGAACAAGGGGCGGAGGCCUGAUGAAGCAGCGCCGCGUGCGGGAUAACGCCCUUCGGGGUGAAAACCGCUUUCGCAGGAACCAAGCCGUUAGUGACGGUACUGGGUAAAAAAGCACCGGCUAACUACGUG
rnacentral:rRNA from 1 species